rnacentral:rRNA from 1 species
UACGGAGGGGGCUAGCGUUGUCCGAAGUUACUGGGCGUAAAGCGUGCGCAGGCGGUUCUCCAAGUCCGGUGUGAAAGCCCCGGGCUCAACCUGGGAAUGGCAGUGGAAACUAGGGGACUUGAAUCUGGCAGAGGGGGGUGGAAUUCCACGUGUAGCAGUGAAAUGCGUAGAGAUGUGGAGGAACACCGAUGGCGAAGGCAGCCCCCUGGGCUGAGAUUGACGCUCAGGCACGAAAGCGUGGGGAGCAAACAGG